rnacentral:rRNA from 1 species
ACUCCUAGGGGAGGGAGCAGUGGGGAAUAUUGCACAGUGGGCGCAAGCGUGAUGCAGCGACGCCGCGUGAGGGAUGGGGGCCUUCGGGUUGUAAACCUCUUUUAUGGGGGAGCAAGCGAGAGUGAGUUUACCCGUUGAAUAAGCACCGGCUAACUAUGUGCCAGCAGCCGCGGUAAU